rnacentral:tRNA from 1 species
GCGCUCGUAGCUCAGCUGGAUAGAGCGUUCCCCUCCUAAGGGAAAGGUCAGGAGUUCGAAUCCCCUCGAGCGCGCCA